rnacentral:lncRNA from 1 species
AUGUGCUCUGCUGCUUCUUGCUAUGUAUGGGGAAUUUUCUCAAGAUCUUCAGAUCAGUCUUCUCUGACCACAAAGGCCAGAUUCUCAUUCUUCCACUUUCUGCUUUUGAGAAAAGAUAAUAGUUUUUUGUUGACUUUUUUUUUUCUUCAUCUUUUCUUUUGGUUUUCUGGCAGCCUCACGUGGGCCCAGCACUGGAAGCAGGAGCUCAGAAUUGCACACUACAGCCUCCUUUCUUCAGCACUGCUGUGGCCAGUGCCAUGUGUUCCCAGGAUCCUUGCAGAUCUUAGUGUCACUCUAAUGAAAGCCGUAGAAGACGUAAACACACACGAGCUUGCUUACCUAGGAAAUCAAAAGAUAAUGGACAUUUACAGCCAACAAUCAAAACCAUAACCAAUUUGGCAGAGGAGCAUUUUAUACAACCAGUGAUUUUGAAGGCUCCUACAGUGUACAGUAACAUCUUAAAAAAGAAAAGAAACAAAGUGGAUGUAUUCAUUUCUGGACAAACAGAGCUGACAAGUUAAAGAAUAUAUGAAUGUCUUAAGCUGAGACCAAAGUGCUUCAUUUAUAAUGGAGAUUACG